rnacentral:lncRNA from 1 species
GGCGACGAGGGGAUUGACAAUAACACUAUACAUAAUUUUUGGGAUGUCAUAAAAAUAACAGAACACCGUAAUAAUGGUAUGACAUAUUGAUGCAUCUUAUGACAUCAUAUUACAUUCUAUAAAUAAUUAUCAGGAUGUUAUAAAAUAUAACAGGACAUCUUAAUAAUAAUAUGAUAUUUAUUGCAUCCUGUGACAUCCUAUUGCAUCUUAUAU